GCCCAAGUUGACUCUUUUAAUUGCUGAGUGUUUUAGCCAGCAUUUUUUUCCUGCAGUGACCAAAAGACCUAAAAAGCAAUUUUAAAGGAGAUAAGUUUAUUUGUCGCUCAUGAUUUCAGAGGUAUCAGUCCACAGACAGCUGACUCCAUUUCUCUGGGCCUGAGGUGAGGCAGAACAUCAAGAUGGAAGAUUGUGGGAGAGGAAAUGGUCACCAGGAAGCAGAAAGAGGGAGUUCUCAUCUCAUCAAGGACAAAACAUAUACCCCAAAGGUACGCCUCAUUGACCCACCUCCUCUAGUCACACCCUACAUGCAUUGUCUCAUACCUAAUAUCUAGAUCAUAACGCUGAGCAAUAAUCCAUAAUAUAACAUGAUUUGUUGCUUUAUUUAUCCAUUUCUCUUUGAUGAAUGUAUUAGUUAGCUUUCAUCACUUGGACAAAAUAUCUGAGAAAAAUAACUUAGAAAAGAAAAAAUUCAUUUUGGUUCAUGGAUUUGGAGUUUUUGGUCCAUUGCUCUGAAAACAGAACAUCAUGGUAAGAAGGGUGGAAACAGAAGGCUGCUGAUCUCAUGGCAUUUAGGAUGCAGACAGAGAGAGGUAAGAAGGCACCAGGAACAAGAUAUAUACUUCAAGGACACCCUCUAGUUACUUACUUUCUCCAACUGGAUCCCAUCUCCUAUAAUUUCCACCACUUCCUAGUAAUGCCAAUAAUUAUGAAUCCAUGAAUGAAUGAAUCCACUGAUGAUGUCAGAACCCUCAUAAUCCAAGGAUUUCCCAAUAGCUCCACUUUUGAACACUGCUGCACUGGGAACAAAGCCUUCGAUACAUGAGCCUUUGGGGGCCUUUCCAGAUCCUAACCAUAACAUGGAACAUUUGUAUUACUUCCGUUUUUUUUUUUUUUGGUAUUACAAAUAGAGCUACUAUGAAAUACAUGUAUAAGUCUUUGAGUGGACAAAUGUUUUAAUUUAUCCUGGGUUUAAACAUUUAGAAAUGAAAUGUCUGGAUAAAUUAGUGGGCAUUAUGGUCUGUAUGUUUGUGCUUCACCAAAGAUUGAAAGUUAGUGACCAAUGGGAUGACCUUAGGAGGCGGGGCCAUUAGGAGGUAAUUAAGUCAUGGAGAACACCUAGCCCCUUCCACUACAUAUACCAUUUAUAAAUGAGAAAGCAGGCCAUCUUCUGAAAUUGACUCUCUCUCCUUGAUGGAGGACUUCCCAGCCUCCUAAACUGUUGUAUCUAAGCUACCCAGUUUAUGGUAUAUUGUUACAGCAGCCCAAAUGGAUGGUAGAUGUAUCUUUAACUGUCUAUUUUCCAAAGUGGCUGUACCAUUUUAUAUUAUCACUAGUAUGUUAGAGUCCUAAUUUUUCCAUAUCCUGGACAAAAAUUUGGUCAGUAUUUUUAAUUUUACCAAUUCUAAUAUAUUGUACAGUGUUAUCUCACUAUGGUUUUAAUUUGGUUAGUUAAUUUUUUAAAAAUUUCUUACAACUUUAAGAAAUGCUAUUUGAUAUUUGCCAUUCUAGAUUUAGAUUGAGGCAACUGUUACAUCUUUGCAAAGAAAUAAUUGUAGGUGAAAGUUGGCACUUUACCACAGAGGAAGGUAUACAAAGUUCACUUCUCUAAUUUUUACACAGCCUUAGGUUCUUAGUUCAGAGGAAGGUAUACAAAGUUCACUUCUCUAAUUUUUACACAGCCUUAGUGCCCCAUAUAACUCUUAGGUUAUUCAGGCCCCUUCAUGGAUAUACUGACUAACCCCCAAGGUAUGUCUGUUUUUUGCACCAUUUGUUCUGGCAUAACUAUCCCCCAAAUAUACCUUUUAAUACCAACUGUUAAGAGAUUUUCUGGCUCCCAGGAAUAGGGUUCUCAACAAAAUGUGACUUAUAGAAAAAAAUGCUGCUUAUUUUACAUAACAAGAAGUCUGGAAGAAAGCAGCUCUUGAACUAGUUACUCAGUGGUUCACUAAUGCUCCAAGAUUGCACACCCCAUCUUUCCAGUUAGCUAGUUUCAGUGGUUUGGGUUUUGUUGCCUUCCUUGUCCCCUAGUGUCCAUGCUGGCUACUGAAGCAGCAGGGAUUCAAGCCUCAAGUAACUUCAUCCAAAGUUAGGAAUAUACAGUUUCUCUUGGCAUUUUUUUUUUUUAAAUUAGGGACCCAGAAACCAGCUUACUUGACUUCCUAUCAAGACUUAUUGGCUAGAACUGAGUCAUCUGCCCACCAUUAAACCAGUUAUUCAAAGAAGAAUUUGAUUAGACUAAUCAUGAUUCAUCUCCUGCAGCUGAGUCCACUACUCUGAGUACUGUGCUGCCAAUAUAUGAAUAAAAUUGGGGUGCAAUAAAAAGGAAUAGGAGUAGGGAGGUGGAUGUUGAGAAUUCAGCAGUGUCUAACAUCAUAGCAGUCUUAUAUACUUUAUAAUCCAAAUCAGCACUUAAACUAGAAAAGAAAUUCAGUGAAUUUAAUAGCUUUAAAGAAAUUCAAUGAAUUUAAUGAGUGAAUUUAAUAGCUUUCAUAUUUUUGUAAAUGUGGUAUUUCCAUGCAUUUAUUCUGAUUAUUUUUUAACACAUAAAUACAUACUUGAGAUUUUACUUUGAUGUCCAGAAUCUACAGGACAUUUUACUACUGAGCAAUGAUUAUCAACUCAAUAUCCCUUUAUGUACCUUGAAUUUUUCUUCACCUACAUGCACUGAUCAUGCUGGCUAUAGCUUUCAUUUCUUUAGUUUUGCAGUUAAGCAUAUAGUUAUUCAGAGCUUACACAGAGCUGCAUUUGUUAUACUUCUAUCCCUGAGGCUAUAUCUACUUAAAUGGAUCUGGCUUGCAUUUUAUUAUUAAAAUAUUAAUUUUUGAUUGUGUAGUCUAGGUUUUUCUCCCUAAUGUAACAUAGUUUUUAGGGAAUGUUCUAAAUUACUAUUGAAAUCCUGUAUUUAUAUGGACUAUUUUAGGAUGAGAAAAGAUUGAUAAAUAUAAAUACUAAGCUUAAAAAUGUAUCAUAGUUAAUCUCUAGCUGGUAUGUUUACUAGGAGUCAUAAAUAUUGUGCUAAUGAGUCAAGGUACCAUGACAUUGAAAAGGAGCAUGAAGAGUAAAAACCAGGAGGUAAUUUGUUUUUACCACAUUCUACAGUCCAAAAACAUAUAUACCAGUAUUUACCUUAAAGAUUUUAUUAAUUACAUCAAUUUCAAAUUUACCUAUCUAGGAAGGGGGAAAAGAAAAGUACUAUUCGGGGAAAUUUUGAUAAAAUAAGUAAGAACAAUGGGCAUAUAAAAUAGCUAUGUUUUUCUCUAAAUACCAGAAAUAAUUUCUAUAAGGUUGAAAAGAUAAAUAGCAAUUGUAUAGUUUAAUUUUAAGAAGAAAUUACGAUAAGUUUAAAGUUAUAUGAAAGAUAAAAUAAGGCUUAUUAGGUUUUUUUCUCCCCAUUUAUACUAUAUGUCUAUCUCUGAUCUCUUGGUCUGUUUCCUCUAUGGAUAUUCCUUUGAUUUUAGUGAGACCUGACCCCACCUUCCUUUGCCUUUUCCCUCUCUAGCUUCAACAUAUGAGAGAAACAUACUUCCCUUAACCUUUUGAACCUGACUUAUUUCACUUAACAUAAUAAUUCCUCUAUUUCUAUCCAUUCUCCUGCAAAUGACAUAAUUUCAUUUUUAUUUAUGGCUAUAUAUAUAUACACACACACACACACACACCACACACACACACAUAUAUAUAUAGUAUAUAUAAAUUACACACACACACACGCACACACAUUUUAUUUAUCCAUUCAUCUGUUGAUGGACACCUAGGCUGGUUCCAUAGUUCUGAUAUUGUGAAUUGUGCUGCUACAAACAUAGGUGGGUGUGAAUCACUAUAGUACAAUGACUUUUGAUUCUUUAGGGGAAAUACUGAAGAGUGAUAGAGCUGGGUCAUACGAUGUUUCCAUGCCUAGUGUUUUGAGGAAUCUGCACACUGACUUCCUUAGUGGUUGUACUGAUUUACAAUCCCACCAACAGUGUAAAAGUGUUCCUUUUUCUCCACAUCCUCUACAGUGUUUAUUAUUGUUCAUAUUCUUGAUGACUAUAUUUCUUAAGAUAACGAAUAUUGGGUUACAUUAACAGAAUAUGGUUAUCAAUGUCAGGAAAUUUAACAUGGACACAACACUUUAUCAUAUUUAUAAUUUUGUCAAUUGACCAAGUAAUAUUCCUUAUAACAUUUUCUCUUCCAGGUAAGGAUUAUAUAUCACAUUUAGUUGUCAUGUCUCUUUAGUCUCCUUUAAUCGGGAAUAUUUCCUUGGCUCUUCUUAGACUUUUGUGACUUUGGCACUAUGAAAUAUAUUAGUCCUUUGAGAAAAAGAACACUCCUCAUUUUUGGAUAGUCUGCUGUUUCCUUAUGAUUAGAUUCAAGUUAACCAUUCCUGGUUUGAACAUUGCAUAUCAUAUUCUUCUGAAGGCAUCACUUUUGGAAGCACACAGCCAACCUGCCCCUCAUGACUGAUAUUAAUUUUGAACACUGGGUCAAAGUAUAUUGUUCAAUGUGUCUACUGUGUAGUUGCUAUUUUCCCCUUUCAAUCUUCACUUUUAUGGUUGAAAACUUUUGACUUUCUUAUUCCAAUUAUCUCUUCACCUUUAUCAAUCAGAAAACUUACUAUAAUGCAAAACUCCUCUCCUUUCUCCUUUCUCCCUCCCUCCCUCCCUCCCUCCCUUCCUUCCUUCCUUCCUUCCUUCCUUCCGUCCUACCUUCCGUCCUUCCUUCUAUCCUUCUCUUCCUUUCCCUAUUAUCAAGAUUGAUUCAUCGAAUCUUAUCAUCCCAAAUUUUCAAUUCUUAUUUUUCAGUAACUGUCUUUAAUUCAGUGCUCAAAUUAACCUAGAUUUGGCCAGUGGGAAUCCCUUCACACUGCCUCUUUUGUUGUUUUAACAUGCCCCAAUCAUUUUUAAAAAACUCUUACUUUAUAACAAUAUCAAGUAGGAUCAUUUUGCGUUUCCUGUCCCAACUGUUGAAUCAUCCACUUUUUCCUGAGGAAACUUGAUUCAGUUUAGUGGAAAAUGCAAUUAGAAUCCUAAACCUAGGCACUCAAUGUGUUCCUUGCCACCAGGAUUUCGUUUGCUUGUAGGUCUUUUCAAAAGACAGAGUUAAGUAGUAUAUGUGAACUUGUCUGUGUGUGUGUGUGUGUCUGCAUGUGUGUGUAUACAAUCCAUUAUACAUGUAAGUUUUCUUAGAUAUGUAUGUAUAAUAUACUAAAGAUCUAAUUUUCUAUUUAUGAAGGUACAAGAAAUCAUGAGUUAUUACUGACCUUUCCAGAAAAUUCUCCCCCCCAUAUUUCCAUAGUUGCAUUAGAGUUAUACAAAUGAUGGACUUUAUUGUUGCAUAUAUGUACAUGCACACGAUAUGACAAUAUAUUUUAUCCAACAUUAUCCCUAAAAUUCUUGGUAAUUUUUUUAAUAUAUAGAAUAUGAAAACUAUUAACAUGCUUCUGAGUAAUAUUACUAUGUUUAGUUUUUCACUUCUGUGGCAAAAUAUCUAUGAAAAACAACUUAGAGGAGGAAAGAUUUAUUGUGGCUCACAGUUUCAGAAGGUUCAGUUCAUGCUCAGCUGGCUCCAUUGUUUCUGGGAUUGUGGUGAGGCAGUACAUCAUGGUGGAAGUCAGUGGCAGAGCAAACCUGCUCAUCUCAUGGUGACCAGGAAGCAGAGAGUAAGAGAAGAAAGAAGGGGACAGUGAUAAGAUCUAGUCCUCAUGUGUGCCCCCAAGAACUGCACCCCACAUCCUACAGUUUCCACCACCUCCCAAUAAUGUCACCAAAUUAUUAAUCUGUCAGUGGAUUAACUUGCUGACAUGUUCAGCGCCCUCAUGAUCCAGUCACUUCCCAAGAGCCCUACCUCUGACCAUUGCUUCAUUGUAGAUCAAGCUUUCAACAUGUGAAUCUAGAGUCACUUGAUAUCCAGACCAUAACAACUACAAAAAAGACUCUACCCACAGGAGUGUCAUGUUGCUCCAUGUCCCUUUCAUUCCCCCCAAUUUUAUUAAUUUAUUGUUUAACUUUUCCUCCUUUUUGUCAACAUAAGAAGAUAUAUUUGCCUUUUAAAAUUUCUCAUUUCCCAUAUGAAUGCUGUGUCUCUUUUUUCACUUUCUAUAUCCCCAAAAUAAUUUUGUAUCAAUUUAUUGACAAUUUUCUCAUUCAUAUUUCCAAUUGCAUAGUACUCCAUUCUGUGAAUAAAAAUUGUACUUUAUUAAAACAAUAUCCAUUAUCUAGACAUUUAAGUAGCUCCUAGUAUUUUAAAAUUAUAAACGUUUUGCAAUGUAAAAUUUUAAAUUACUUUCUAAUGUUUUGCAAGAUUGAGUUACCUAGUGCAUGUGUGUUUUAAUAUACUUAGAGAUGCACAUUUAACUUAAAUUCAAGAAAUGGGGUUGCUAGGUACAAAUGACACAUGAUUACAGAGUUUCAUUAGUACUCAAUUCCCCUCUAUGGAGGCUGAGGCAGUAAGAUGGCAAAUUCAAGACCAGCCUCGGUAACAGUGAGACCCUAUGUCUAAAAAAAUAAAAAGGGGAUGUAGCUCAGUGUUAAAGAACCCUGGGCUCAAUUCCCAGUACAAAACUUUAAAAGGAAGAAGAAAAGAAAAGGAAAAGUGUCUUGAAGUUUAAGAUUCAUUAGUUUCACAGUAAUGUAUACUAUACUUCCAAAAUACAAAUUUACCUUCCAAUUGAGGUAUGUUCCCUGUGAUUUUUAACACUCAGUUCUUUUAUUAAAGUUGCAGAUCGUACAAUUAAUAGCAUUUUAGAAUUAAAACUUGCUUUCUCUCUUUAAAGAGCUUUCUAAAGCUUUAAUCUCAUUACUCCAACCCCACCUCCAUCUAAUGUUCAGAGUAGCCUUCCCAAAUCAGAGCUUCUAUGUCAUGUUCCAUUCAAAAACUUUCUAUGCCAUCCCACUAUCUUUGGACCUGAGGAUGAAUCACAUAAUCUGGCAUUCAAAGCCAUUAUUGAAAACUGGAAGGAAGAUUAAAAGAAAGUCUCUUCCAUAGGAGUUGUAUCACUUUGUACUUCUACCAGUAGUACAAAAGAGUGCUUCUUUCCUUACAGCUUCAUUGACAGACUGAUGACUGUCAAAAUCUUCAUCAAUAGAGCUGUUGACAUUUUUGUCGGUCUGAUAUUUGAGAUAUGUUUUUCUAUUUUAAUAUUUUCAUAUACUAUUGAACAUUUUUUAUCUAUUUUUAUAAAUUACCUAUUCAUGUCUUUUACCCAUUUAUUUGUGUCUAUAUGUCUAUUACCCUUUAUUUGUGUUAUAUUUUGGAAACAUUUUUCUGCUAAAUUUUCAUUUAUAUUCCAAAUAUGCUAAUGGCAUUUCUUGUCAUGAAAGAUCAUUUACAAAAAUUCUAUGGACUCGGGAUACAGCUUUGUGGUAUAGCAAAAAGGCCUGUGUUUGAUCCUCAGUUGCAAAAGAAAUGAAAAAAAAUGUACAGUUCAAAUUUAUCAAUUUUUGAAAUUAUAUUGGAAUUUAAGUUAUAACUCCAAGUCUUUUUCUUUUUUAAUUAUGCAUUAAAAUUAUACAUAAUAGUGGGAUUCAUUAGUCUAUAUUCAUACAUGCACAUAAUUUGAUCAAUUUUAUUCCCCAGUACCUUCCUUUUCCUUCCUUUCUUCCCUCCUUCUGAGCCACUUGCUAAAUUCCACUGAUCUCUCUUCUAUUAUUGUUAUUUUUAUCCCUAAUUACUGAUAUGUGUGUGUGUGUGUGUGUGUGUGUGUGUAUGACUCAUUGUGGCAGGCAUAGGCAUACAUGGACAUAGCAUAAUAUGGUAGAAUUUGUUCCCUAGUACUUCCCCAUGACCCCUGUAUCCCCCACUCAAUCCCCUUUCUCAGCUCCAUUGGUCUUCCUUCUAUUUUUGUGAUUCCCCCCUUAAAAUUCUUCUCUGUCUUUUCUCUCUUGCAUAUAUGAGAAGAGAAAAAACCUCCUUGUCCCUUACUUUCUAAGUCUGGCUUCUUUCUUUCAUCUAGCUUGAUGUUCUCCAGCUCCAUUUGUUUAUCAGCAGAUGACAUAAUUUCAUUCUUUUUAUGGUUGAGUAAAACUCCAUGUAUAUACACACUACAUUUUCAUUAUCCAUUUGUCUAGGAUAGGCAUCUAGGCUGGUUUCAUAACUUGGCUAUUGUAAAUUGUGGUGCUAUAAAUGUUGGUAUGCCUGUAUCACUAUGGUAUGCUGAUUUUAGUUCUUUUGGAUAAAUACCUAAGAGUGGAACAGCUGGAUCAUAUGAUAAUUCUAUUCCUAGUCUUUUGAGGAAUCUCCAUUAUGCUACAAAGCCUUUUUCUACACUAAAAUUAUAAAUGAUUUUAUACCCCAUUUUGUCCAGUAUCUGUGUAAUUUUUCAAAAAAUUUAGAUCUUAAUUCAUUUGGAGCUUAUUAUUUUUCAUGUUAUGAAGAGUGAAUCUAAAUUUGUUUUUCAAAUGAUUUUCUUGUUGUCCCAAUGACAAUAAUUACAAAGUCUAACAUUACUCUCUUUGAUCUGAGAUACCAUCCUUAUCUAUUAGACUUCAGUGUCAUUGGUUUACUUUCCUAUUCUCUUCCAUUGGUCUUUCUAUUCAUAUACCAACCUCACAUGUUUUAAUUAUAAAGACUUUGUAAUAUGAUUAAAUAUCUUUUAAAGCUAGAACCUCCUCAUAACUCUACCUUUUAGUGUUUUACUAUCUUGCUUAUUUUUGCAUAUGAAUGUUAGUAGUUUUAUCAAAAACAUCAUUGGCAUUUUUCUGGAAUUGCAAUAAUUUGUCAUUAUUUAAUAAUAUAUUAAUUAAUUGAUAUAUAAUGACUACAUUAAAAAUUAAUUUAGAAGAAAUAUUGAUGAUACUGAGAAGUUCUUACCAAGAAAACAGUAUGUCUUUACAUUUAUAAAGUCUACAUGUAUGUCUUUUACAAAUGCUUUUUAGUUUUCUUCAGAUAGUUUUGAGCAUUUCUUUUUAACUUUAUUUCUAAGUGAUGUUUUCUCUUGCUUUUGUAAGUGGAAUUUUCUUUUCCUUUAUAUUUUGUAGUGGCUAUUAUUGGUAUAUAUCAAAUUUUAUCUCAUUGCUUCAGAUGUAGAACAUCUAUAAAACAAACAGAGUACUAAAGAGUAUAUAAUAUGUAAUAUAAUUAUAUAAUGUAUAAUUAUAUAAUAAUAUACAUAAUAAUAAUUAAUGUAAUAACAUAUAUAAGUUCCAGAUUAUAAUUUACAACUUAUUUUAAUGCACUUGUGUCAAUUUUCUUGAAAUAUUCACAAAAUUGAAAACUUUGGAUCUAAUGGAUUUUGAUAUUUGAAUAUUAAUUUUAUAGUCUAUUGAUUUGAAAUUCUAUUGUUUGAAUCAGUAGGGCUUACCAUGAUAUCAUCUAUAUAUAAAGAUUGCUUUAUUUCUUCUUGUGUUUCUGUUUUAUCUGGUCUAAAUGCAUAGACUUAUAUCUGUAGUAUGAUAAGUAUAGAAUAGAUAGUAGAUAUUCUUGUCUUAUUUCUGAAAUUACUUGGAAUUCCUGCAAUGUUUCCUCAUUAGACAUAAUGCAGUUUUAGGAUUGUAAGAUCUAUAUCUAUAUCCAUAUAUUACAUAUUUAAUUGAACAGUAAUAGAUUCUUUUCAAUAGAUUUUAAUUGAUUAUAAAUUUGAAUUUAUCCAAGGGAUUUUUGUGUGUGUGUGGGGGGGUGUACAUGGUAAUAGACAUUGAACCCAGGGCCUUGAGCAUACUAAAACAAGAUCUCUCCCAAGGAGCUAUAUCUCCAGCCCUGUGAUUUUAUUUUGAGACAGGAUAUCCCUUAGUUGUUGAGGCUGGUCUAGAAUUUCCUCCUACCUCAACCACCCAAGUAGCUGGGAUUACAGGUGUGCACCACUUCACCUGGUUUAUCCAAGGUUUUCUUCCCUUUAGACUUAGUUUUAAUUUAUGAAGAAAACAUUUUGUCCAUUUUCUACUUUUUUUUCCACUUGAGUUUUACAAGUUCUUGAUCCAACUACUCCUAUUGUUUCAUCACAACCCACUAUUGCCUGACAAUCUUUUACCUGAGUGCUUGUACUUUUACUUUUCAGUUUUCCUUCAGAAUAGUGAUUAUUUAAUUAUUUUUUCUAAGAAGUACUUUCAUCUGAUUAAUGACAACACUAUCUGGUGUUUUUUGUUUGUUUGUUUGUUUGUUUUUAAACUAGGAAUGUUCUAUUGCUCUUUUCCCAUUUUUAAAACACAGAAUUGUUGUGUACAUGUUGUUUUAUUUUGUUUCUUAUACUUAACCAACUUUUUCUGGGCCAACUUUUCACAAAAGACUUAUGUUGUGGAACAAGGGAAAACCAAGGUAACCUGCCCUUCAAGAAGUAGAGAGACAUAGCGUCACAGAGCUCUCUCUCUCCUUGAAUACAACCUGGCUCAGUGGAGAUUCUACUGCUAUAUCUAAACUUCUGAAGGUUCUGUUUUGCCCUUGUCCCCAAUGAACAGAACCUGCUUUCAAAACAAGGAAAGCCUCCUUAAAUUUAGAACAUGUGUUUUUGAUGAUUUUAUGUUCUACUAUCACUGAGUAACUUCCAGGCCCCCUCUCUGCUUCCCACUGUGUCCCUGAUCCUUGCUCAUUUCCAAAGGAAGAAUGGUACUACUCACAUUUAGAAUGGGAGCUCUCUCUGCCUUAUGUUCAGUUGCUGUGGCUUUUGAGGUCUGUUGCAUCAGUUUUCCACAACUCUUCUCUCCCUUCCCCUUGACUCUGACACACUUGAUUAAGAUUUUCCUAAAGACUUUGCUACCAAUAUUGCUGUGGAUCAAGAUUUGCACAAAAUCUCUACUUUGGAGGUGUUUUCUCUGCCUGCUGCCUUUGUUUUAAAUUUAAUGAACUCUCUUCUUUAUUCUCCUUAUAUCCAUAUGUCUUCCUGGAUAAGUGAAAUGAUUCUUAACUGUAAGAAAAUUAUUCGUAAGCUGUAAGAAAAUUCUUACUGGAAUUUGAAGCCUAUUUUACAAGCUUUUCUCUGUUUUACUUGUUACAUGACUCUGGACUAGUUAUUUAAACUCACUUUAAUACAGUUUACUUAUUUCCAAAAUAGAUAAACUAAUAUCUUGUAACAUUGAUAGAGAAACAAUUUGAGAUACUAAUCUUGAUAUAAUAUCUGGUAUAUGGUAGAUAUUUGAUAUGGACUGAAUUCUGUCUUUCCCAGAUUCAUAUAUUGAAGCCCUCCCUCCUGAUGUGACUGUAUUUGGAGAUAAAUCGUUUAAGAAGUUGGUCAGAUCAAACAGAGCGGCAAUCUGAUAGAACUGGGUUCCUUGAAGAAGAAACAUCUCUCUCUCUCUCUCUCCCCUCUUUCCUCUGCCCCCUCCAUGAUUGAGGAAAGGCUGUGAGGACACAUUAAGAAGAUAGCUAUCUAGAUAUAAGCCAGGGAGAGAGGCCUCAUAAGAAAUCAAGAAAUCAACUCUGACACCUUGAUCUUGGCUUUCCUCCAAGAACUGUGAGAAAAAUAAAUAUUUGUUGUUUUACCACCCUGUCCAGUGUAUCUUGUUAUGGAAACCCAUGAAAAUUAGUACAUUGCUCAUUAUAUUUUAACUGAUCAUAACAAUAACUGGUGGUGGUGGUGAUGAUGAUGAUGAUGAUGAUGAUGAUGAUCCUAGAAGUCCAGGUCUAUGGAUACUUACUAAUAGGGAAUUGUAAAAUCAGGUUUGAAUUGGCACAGUUUUUAGCAAGAAAAUUAUAUUUUUUUCACUUGGCUCUUUUCCCAUUGAUUU
rnacentral:lncRNA from 1 species